ensembl:lncRNA
CCCAGAGUUCUCAGCAAGCUUAAGGUCCCCAGCUCAAAUGUCCAAAGAGGCCAAUUUCAAGGAAAAUGCAGAGUAAACGUCCUUGAGGACAAGGGCCUUUGUCUUCUACCAGCACUGCUGUUGUGGCUACUUUGGAUUCCUGCAGAACUGUGUGAAAAGGGCUGGGCUCACAAUAGCCUAAACACUGUUCUGCCUGUGGAUUCUGCAGAUUGAACUCAGAUAAGGGAAGCGCUGUCCUGAUCGAGUUACCUACUUAGUCCCGAAAGUCUCUUUUGGUGUACCACACUGGCAAGUUGGAUUCCUUACUUCCAGAGAGGUGAAUGAACCCAUUCCAGAAGCUUCCCAUCGUGAACGACUAGAGCAACAUCCAGGGUGGUGUGCUUUCUCAAUGUACGUGUUGAACUAAGACAGCAGAUAGGAGAGAGCCUUGCUGUGACCCGACAUCCCUGUGUGUGAAUGUAUCUCUGAAUUUCCUAUUUGGAAAUUGAAUACUGAAUUCAUGUCUGAUGAUAUUUAGAGGUCAGGUAUUUCAGAAGUAUUCGAUGAGGUCGUCAGGGUGGGAACCCCACGACAAGGCUGCUGGCUUUCUUAAAAGAAUAAGG